CCAUAGGAUGGGACUGCGGCCUAUCAGUUUGUUGGUGAGGUAAUGGCCCACCAAGACUAUUUCAGGUACGGGCUCUGAGAGGAGUAGCCCGGAGAUGGGUACUGAGACACGGACCCAGGCCCUAUGGGGCGCAGCAGGCGAGAAAACUUUGCAAUGUGCGAAAGCACGACAAGGUUAAUCCGAGUGGUUUCUGCUAAAGAAACCUUUUGUCAGUCCUAGAAACACUAACGAAUAAGGGGUGGGCAAGUUCUGGUGUCAGCCGCCGCGGUAAAACCAGCACCUCAAGUGGUCAGGAUGAUUAUUGGGCCUAAAGCAUCCGUAGCUCGUUCUGUAAGUUUUCGGUUAAAUCCAUGCGCUUAACGUAUGGGCUGCCGGGAAUACUGCAUAACUAGGAAGUGGGAGAGGUAGACGGUACUCGGGAGGAAGGGGUAAAAUCCUUUGAUCUCUUGAUGACCACCUGUGGCGAAGGCGGUCUACCAGAACACGUUCGACGGUGAGGGAUGAAAGCUGGGGGAGCAAACCGGAUUAGAUACCCGGGUAGUCCCAGCUGUAAACUAUGCAAACUCAGUGAUGCAUUGGCUUAUGGCCAAUGCAGUGCUGCAGGGAAGCCGUUAAGUUUGCCGCCUGGGAAGUACGUACGCAAGUAUGAAACUUAAAGGAAUUGGCGGGGGAGCACCACAAGGGGUGAAGCCUGCGGUUC
rnacentral:rRNA from 1 species